rnacentral:rRNA from 1 species
AACGAACGCUGGCGGCGUGUUUAAGACAUGCAAGUCGCACGGGGCGGAUCAGGUAGCAAUAUUUGAUUCGUUCAGUGGCGCACGGGUGAGUAACACGUGAAUCACAUGCCCUUCAGUGGGGGAUAGCCCAGGGAAACUUGGAUUAAUACCCCAUGGUCUCGCAAGAGUAAAGGCGGCCUUUAAGGCAGUCGCUGGAGGAUUGGUUCGCGCCCUAUCAGCUUGUUGGGGGGGUAACGGCCCACCAAGGCUACGACGGGUACCUGGUCUGAGAGGACGAUCAGGCACACUGGAACUGAGACACGGUCCAGACACCUACGGGUGGCAGCAGUCGAGAAUAAUUCACAAUGGGGGAAACCCUGAUGGUGCAACGCCGCGUGGAGGAUGACGGUCUUCGGAUUGUAAACUCCUGUCAUCCGGGAGUAAGACCUG